rnacentral:rRNA from 1 species
UACGUAGGGGGGCAAGCGUUGUCCGGAAUCAUUGGGCGUAAAGCGCACGUAGGCGGCCCGGUAAGUCCGCUCUGAAAGUCAGAGGCUCAACCUCUGGAGGCGAGUGGAUACUGCCGGGCUAGAGUCCGGAAGAGGCGAGUGGAAUUCCUGGUGUAGCGGUGGAAUGCGCAGAUAUCAGGAGGAACACCUAUGGCGAAGGCAGCUCGCUGGGACGGUACUGACGCUGAGGUGCGAAAGCGUGGGGAGCGAACAGG